UGCCUUUUCUGACUUUGUCUGUUGUCUCCAGGGCCUCCACUGUCACAUCAUACAGUUCUUCCAUCAUAUCUGGCAUUUCUGACCUGAUCUUCCUCUCUAGCUUGCCUGCAUUUUCUCAUUAGUUACAGACAUCCCCUACUGAUUCUAUCAGACUUUUAAAAAAGUAAGGUAUUUCCUACAGCUUUUCUAAUUUUUUUCCCCCUGUGACUUUUAAAAACGUCCUCUAACAACUAAAGCAAAUUGGUGGGGUUUUUGUAUUAGCUUGUUUGCUUUCUUCCUUUUUUGUUUUACUUAUUGACUUCCUGGAGCCAUUCUGAAAAAUCUUCAGACCGUCCCAUUUGUAGUGCUUAACACCAAUACCAUCUGUAUUUCUAAAAACUACUGUGGAAGGUUGAGGUUGUGUGUUAGCCUGCUUUUGUGAUUUGAGAUGUAACAUGUUGAAGCUGUCUAAUGGCCAUCAUGAUGCAUUUUUUAGGUCUUUUAAUAUGGUUUGUUCCGAGUAUGCUUCACUAACAGUUUAUGCUAUCAACGUGUUGCCUUGAGCUUCCAGUUGCACAACUUUAGCAACCUUCACCUACUGACAUUCUCUUUCCUAAGGCCAAGUUUCCCAGGAGAUUUUUCUCAUGUGACACAGUCUUCUGUAAACUAGAGAGCUGAAAUCUCUUAGGAAAAUUAGUUCAUCAGGCUUUAGUACUGGGUGACCUCACUGUGAAACAGCCUCUAAAAUAUAUUUUGUGUGUCCAGAUUUCCGAGGAUAUUUCAAAGGUGAUGAAUUGAGGCAUACACAUAAUGACCUGUUCCAGUCAGAAACUGAGACAGCCUCAAAGGGAGUUGCUGACGAGAUCUACAGAAUGAGACAUGUUGAACAGCUCAUUCCUAAGGCGUUUUCCUGACGACUGUGUGAAGCCAGUACUCUCACUUAGCAGCUACCUCAUUUCUGGGAGGAGAUGUUUCAUUUCUUCAGGCAGAUUUCUCCACGGCUGAACAAGCACAAA